rnacentral:rRNA from 1 species
ACUCCUACGGGAGGCAGCAGUAGGGAAUUUUCGGCAAUGGGGGGAACCCUGACCGAGCAACGCCGCGUGAGUGAAGAAGGUUUUCGGAUUGUAAAGCUCUGUUGCAAGGGAAGAACGGCACAUAGAGGAUAUGUGAGUGACGGUACCUUGCGAGGAAGCCACGGCUAACUACGUGCCAGCAGCCGCGGUAAUA